rnacentral:rRNA from 1 species
CGCGUAGGCGGUUUGGUUAGUCAGAUGUGAAAGCCCCGGGCUUAACCUGGGAAUUGCAUUUGAUACUGCCAGGCUCGAGUGUGGUAGAGGGAAGCGGAAUUCCGGGUGUAGCGGUGAAAUGCGUAGAUAUCCGGAGGAACACCAGUGGCGAAGGCGGCUUCCUGGACCAACACUGACGCUGAGGCGCGAAAGCGUGGGGAGCAAACA